AUGGACCUCCGGAGCUGCUGCCAAGCCUGUUGCAGUAGGGGCAAGGAAAGCCAGGCUCUUGUCCUCAAGGAACUUCCCUUCCAAGCUUUCUGGAUCCACCCUCUCAUCACAGAUGCUACUGGGGGAGACUUGAGUUCAAUCUUCAGGAAUGUACUUCUGUUUCUCUCAAUGUGAAUGAAUAUUGAUGAGGAUCCCAAGUCUGGACAUGCUGGUACACAGCAGAAUUUGUAAGUAGAUACCAAAUAUGAAAAUACUCUCAUGUAUGGUAGAAUUUUUAAUUAUUAAAAAUUACACUCUGCUAAAAGGAUGUCUAGGCUCCAAUUUGCUUUUUCACUCUCCACAUCUCCACAAACCUUCAUAUUGUUUGACAGAGUGUUUCAUGACUGCUGCCUGUAAGUGCGAAAAGUCAGGAUGAGAGUUCACAGCAGGUUGAUGGCCUGGAGACGAGGAUUCUGUCUGAGGACAUUUCAAAGUUGUAAAGGUAUUAUUCUCACAUGGAGUUAUUUCUCAGUGGGUGUGAGCAACAGCUACUCAUCAAGCUGGUGUAGUGUGAAAUAGAGUUUCCUGAAAAAUGAUGUGCAGACAUAUGCAGAAAGCCACAUGCUUAGUACAUGCACAGCCUGCGUGCCUAACUUCCAAGUGUUGGAAUAUUUGCCAUGAUGUGAGCUAAAAUGCAAAAGUCCCCAUUGGAAAUAUCCCAGGGAGAGGCACAGCUUGGAAUUAUCACCAACCCGUUGGGUUCAAGGAAGGCAUGUGUUGAAGGACAAAAAGUGAAGAUCAUAACUGUGCUGGGAAGGGAGAUCUGAUGAGAUAGGAGGAACUUGUCCUUUUGUGAGACAAGGAAGUCUUUCUAGAGUACUGGAAGACCCAGCUCUGCUGGGAAAGCUGUUUUGUACAUCCUGUAUUGAACGUGUCACAGUUAGGUGUUAUUAACCUGAAUGAAGAGAUUGCCAUCAGAGGAACCCCAUUCUUGCAUUGGGGUAUGUCUGCUGAAGAAGUAUCUGCCCAAGCUGAUACACAGUUCCCUGGAUCUGGGGCAUUAUUAAUGUUUUAGAUUUGUGAGAACCUUUUCAUCAAAGAGCUUGAAUGGAGCCUACACAUUUACAUGAGUAUUUUUCUCAACUGCAUGGUUCUCCUCAUGACUUCUUCUGAGUGCACAGUAAGGAGUGGAACAGUUAGAAGAGUGGAUAAUACACAAAUAAAACGAUAGGACUGGAGUCA
rnacentral:lncRNA from 1 species